GUGGUGGCUCAGUGAUAGAGCGCUUGCCUUGCAUGUGUGAGGCACUGGGUUCAAUUCUCAGCAGCACA
rnacentral:tRNA from 1 species